UCUUUACCGGCGAAACUCAUGGAGGAAGUUUUGCAGUUGUAAACCAGUUUUUGCGAAGCUUUUGGAGGGUAAUUUUCGCUUUGAUAUCAGGGUAAGAUGUCAAAAAGAAGACUGGAUGUCGAUGGCAACUCUUCCAAUUCAGUCAGCACCGCGAAAAGGAUUCGAGAAGAGUUGAGCAAUCCCAGUAAUCUACGUGGAAAGAUCAACCCCUUCAAUGGCAAGCUGUUCUCAGACAGAUAUUUUGACAUUCUUAAGAAGAGAAUUGAGCUGCCAGUAUGGGAAUACAGAGAAAAGUUUAUGGAGAGUAUGAAAGAGCACAAAGCUUUUGUUCUUGUUGGAGAAACGGGAUCUGGGAAGACAACACAGAUUCCUCAGUGGUGUCUUGAAACUCGCAUGGACAAGCGCAAAUGUGUUGCCUGUACUCAGCCCAGAAGGGUAGCUGCCAUGAGUGUUGCUCAGCGUGUCGCUGAUGAACUGGACGUGAUGAUAGGUCAAGAAGUUGGGUACACCAUUCGAUUUGAAGACUGCACCAGUCCCAGAACAAUACUGAAGUACAUGACAGAUGGUAUGCUGCUACGUGAAGCUAUGACAGAUCCUUUGCUGGAUCGUUAUGCUGUCAUUUUGCUUGAUGAAGCUCACGAGAGAACUCUCGCAACUGAUAUCCUCAUGGGUCUACUGAAAGAGGUCGUGCGUCAAAGACAUGACCUCAAGAUUAUUAUCAUGAGUGCCACUUUAGAUGCUGGAAAGUUUCAGGACUACUUUGAUAAAGCUCCUCUCAUGACAAUACCUGGACGGACACACCCUGUGGAGAUCUUCUACACCCCUGAACCUGAGCGAGACUACCUGGAGGCAGCCAUAAGAACAGUUGUACAGAUUCACAUGUGUGAGGAAGUGGAGGGUGACAUUUUGCUCUUUCUCACUGGGCAAGAGGAAAUUGAAGAAGCUUGUAAGAGAUUAAAGAAAGAAAUUGACAACUUGGGUCCUGAAAUAGGAGAGCUACGCUGCAUUCCCCUGUACUCCACACUUCCUCCCCAACAACAGCAACGCAUCUUUGACCCUGCUCCACCUAAACGACCUAAUGGUGCCAUUGGUCGCAAGUGUGUUGUAUCAACUAACAUAGCUGAGACAUCCCUCACAAUUGAUGGUGUUGUGUUUGUUAUUGAUCCUGGAUUUUCAAAACAAAAGGUGUAUAACCCUCGCAUUCGUGUAGAGUCCCUGCUAGUUUCUGCCAUCUCAAAAGCCAGUUCACAGCAGAGAGCAGGUCGUGCUGGCCGUACCCGCCCUGGCAAGUGCUUUCGACUCUAUACAGAGAAAGCUUAUCAGAAUGAAAUGCAGGAUAACACGUAUCCUGAGAUCCUGAGGUCUAAUCUCGGUACUGUGGUACUGCAGCUUAAAAAGCUGGGCAUUGACGACUUGGUUCAUUUUGAUUUUAUGGAUCCUCCUGCCCCUGAGACCUUGAUGAGAGCUCUUGAGUUGCUGAAUUAUCUGGGUGCCCUUGAUGACAACGGAGAUCUGACAUCGCUUGGUUCCAUGAUGGCAGAGUUCCCCCUCGACCCACAGCUUGCCAAGAUGGUGAUUGCCAGCUGUGAUCAUAACUGUUCUAACGAGAUCUUAUCCAUUACUGCCAUGUUGUCAGUUCCUCAAGUGUUCCUGAGGCCAAAUGAAGCAAAGAAAGCUGCUGAUGAAGCAAAAAUGAAGUUUGCUCACAUUGAUGGAGAUCACCUCACCUUGCUGAAUGUUUACCAUGCUUACAAGCAAAACCAUGAAGAUGUCCAGUGGUGUUAUGACAACUUUAUUCAACAACGAUCACUCAAGUCUGCAGACAAUGUACGGCAGCAGCUCACCAGAAUCAUGGACAGAUUCAACCUUGCACGACGCAGCACCGACUUCAACAGUCGCGAUUAUUAUGUGAACAUCAGGAAGGCACUUGUGACUGGAUUCUUUAUGCAGAUAUACUGACCAUAAAAUCUGUGAAUCCCAACUUGCCCCUCCACAUUACUGUUCUGAUGAGUUAGGUAGCUCAUUUGGAGAGGUCUGGACACUACUUGACAGUCAAGGACAACCAGGUUGUACAACUGCAUCCAUCUACUUGCUUGGAUCACAAGCCUGAGUGG
rnacentral:misc_RNA from 1 species